CCACGGGCUAACCUCACUCACAACAUGGAAUAGGCUUUUCUGAAUCACUCUGCCCUAGUGCUAGGGUUUUUCUCUGAAACUCGUGGAAGAUCGAGCGUACGGAGGAUACAUUCAAAUCAGUAAACCCUAUGGCUUUCAAAACCUGUAAGUUUUUAUCACCCAUGUUUCAUAUCUUAUAUGACAAUCUGAUGCAUCACAGAAUCAGUCAUUCUUCAGCGACAAUUAUUCGAUUUUUUGAGACCCAAUCAAUCUCAAACUCCUCAAAUUUCACGAAGAAACAAGCUCUCACAGUCUCUUACCUCACAAAGUCAUGUGGGUUGUCGUUAGAAUCUGCUAUCUCAGCUUCUAAGAAGCUCAACAUUAAGAGCACAGAGAAACCGGACUCGGUUCUUGAGCUCCUAAGGUCCCAUGGCUUCACUGAAAAUCACAUUUCAGCCCUAAUUUCCAAGUGACCAACUUUAAUUUUGGCUUUCCCAGAGACAACUUCAAGACCCAAAUUUGAGUAUUUUGUAACUUUGGGUCUUGGCGGACCUGACUUGCCUAGGAUUCUUUGUUCAUCUAACAUGAUACUUAACAGUUUGGAAAACAAAAUCAAGCCCACAUUUAAUUUCCUUAAACUAUACAUAAGCACCCAUGAUAAUUUAAUUCAUGCUCUUAAGGAAUCUAACCAUAUGUUUGUGGGCAAUGUUGAAAAAGUUGUGGUUUCAAAUAUCACCACCUUGCGGGCUCAUGGUAUGUCUGAAUCCCAUAUUGAAAAACUAAUCAUUUCGCGGCCCAGCGCACUAACGUUGAGAGUUGAUGUGUUUAAAGAGGUUACUGAUGCAAUUAAGGAAAUGGGUUUUGAUCCCAAAAGUGGAUCAUACGUAUCUGCUGUCCGUUCAAUGUCAAAAAUUAGCAAACUCAAUUGAGAAAAGAAGAAGGAAGCUUAUAUGAGCUUUGGUUGGUCUGAAAGCACAUUUAAUUCGGCAUUCAAAUCGCAGCCAAUAUGUAUGAGUCGCGCAGAGAAGACAAUCAGGGAACUGAUGCAUUUCUUUGUGAACAGGGUGGGGUUAAGAGCAUCAGAGAUUGCUAACCGCCCAAAUAUUUUACUACUUAAUUUGGAAAGUAGAGUCAUUCCUAGAUGUUCUGUUCUACAAGUUCUGAUGUCAAAUGGUUUGAUUGGGAAGGAUGUAAAUGUGGUUCCGGUGUUAACUUGUACCAUAAAGAAAUUUGAUACCAGGUUUCUAACCAAGUAUAAAGAGGUUGCUCCUGAAGUAAUCAAAGCGUACAAUGGUGAGAUAGGAUUUGAAGGAUUCAAGACUAGAAUGUAGGACAAUGUGGAAUCAGAGAAGCGAGCAACUGCUAGAUAUGCUGGCAAACAAUAUGGUGUAUUUGAGUUUCUAUCAAAAUGAUUUGGCUGCAUGUAAGGUCUGCCAUCUAAGAAGUAAUCCUCUAAUCACUUCAAUGAGGUUUUUUGAUGGCUGAUACAGUAUGAGAAGGGGUAAGAUUGUCGUGUAUAUUUUGAAGAUCACAUCAGCUUUCUCUGUUGACUUUGUCACAUCUUGGAAAAUUUCAUAAUUAUGUUUUUCAUCAGUAAUGUUAUGAAAUAUGCUCUAAUUUUUCAAAUUUUGACAGCCAGCAUAUUUGCUUAAUAGUUCCAUUUGAGUGGCUAUAUCUUUUAAUUAUUACUUCUUUUCUAGGUCUGCAGUAUACUCAUGUGGUGAUUGCAAUGGUUGGUGCGUGUAUCUAUAUAGUAUUUACACUGAUUUUGCGGAUUCCGUUGUUUUACCUGUAGGACUUAUUACCUGUUAUUCUGUUAAAGGCUAGUGGUCAUUUCCAUGUGUGUUUGAUGUCAUUAUGGCUAAUUAGUCGUAUGUGUCCUAACCUGUCUAUUCUUUCAUAUACUAUGUAAAACCUUAACUUUCCAUGCUUUCAUAAUUUUCCAUGAUUUCCUUAUAGGUACAGAGUCUUACGUGUCCUAACCUGUUUGUUCUUCCCUAUAUUAUGUAAAACCUUUUGUCUGAAUUUAACUUUCAUGUAUGAGAGAUCCAUUAAUAUGCAAUUCUUCGACAUAAGAACUUAGAGCUCACAUUUUCUGAUUAGUGUAUUUGAAGUGUUUUUUUUUUUUGCCUUAGUGUAUUUGAAGUUAUAUGCUGCGUACUACCAAUCAGAAAUAGCUUAAUUGUGUAUGGGAUAUUUGAAUUGAGGAGAAGUGGAAAUUAUCAUCUAUGGUGUUUCGAGAUCGUGCACCCAGUGAUAUAUAUCUUUAUACUACCUUUAUUGGGGGAAGUAGAUACAGAGAACUGUGUGUUGCUUCAUUCAUUUUGCUGACUUUUUCAUUCCAUUGUGUUGCUCUCACUUUUACGUUGUCAGUAUGUACUUUCCUUAAUAAUUUAUGCAUUCUCAUGUUAAUUGUGGUAUAGGGAUAGUUGAAGCAGCUAGUAAUAACUGACCUUAGACAGUUGUUAGGUAGUGAGGAAGUGUUGAUAUUUGUGAAGCACGGAUAUCAUUAGUGCUUUAUAUAUUUGAAAUUUUCAUUAUUUAUUUACUUUUUUUCCCCCUCCUUUUAGUGUUUAAGGUCUUGAAUGAAUCUACUUAAAUUCAAAUUUGUCAUUUAUGUUAUUUUGGUUCUACUCUCUUAAGGUUGCCUGCGUGAUUGUAGUCACUUCUACUGGAGUAAAGCAUUUCCUCUGAAUGGUCAAAAUUAUGCCUCGGUUGUAAAAGCCACUGAGAAGAUGGAAGAGGUCCUUCCAAGAAUUUUCUUUACCAUUAACUUUGUUCUAUUUCUCAUAGCUUCUUAUUGUCACUAAGUUUGGGAUAAGAUGUUGUCACCGUAAUGGUAUUCAUCAACCUUUACUAGGGCAAAGUCUAGUAGAUCUUGCAGACUACUAAAAUUGGGAUAUCUAUAUGCUUUAAUAACAUCUCAUAAGAGUUGAUGACUCGUUCAACUCGGACAAAAAAUCUUCCAGAUGUUAGCGUCAUGGUAAAUACAUGAGGUUUCAAAUCAUGGUUGUACAUCUUUUGAAGUUUGGUGGUUUUUCCCACUUCGGUAAACACUCCUUUAUAUACUUUCAGGUGCCCUUAUUUCAUAUUUCAAUAGAUGCAACCUGUCCUUCCUCUCUCUGCGUGAAAACCUUUGUCUUUCUGUGUUCUGUCUCUCUUCUCACUGUAAAACCCUAAAUCUUCGUCUGAAACACUCGCCUCUGACCAUCAGCCUCCUCUCAAUUCAAUCCCCAAACCGAAGCUCAAUGACGUUGAUUAGAGUUGUUUGGUGUUCAUCAUCAUCUCUGGUCAGAUUGCUCGACUGUAAUUGAUCAAUUAUACAUAUAUAUAUAUAUAGAAUACAGUGAGAAACUUUGAAAAUCUGUUAAUUUUACAGUAUGGUGACAAUUUGGGUCAGCUGUUAGAUAUCAGGGACAAAAAGAAUUUGAAGUAUUUUGGUUCACCCAGUUUGAAAUUUUUGAACAAGAGUGGCGCAUGUGGAGUUAUGUGAAGGAGAUGAAGUAGCUGUUAUGAAGAAGGUUAUGUUUGGCAGGUUGGAGUCUUGCCUUGAAUGCUUUGGGGUGGAGUUUUGAGUAUGAGCUUGGCGGGAAAUGCCUUGGUUGUCUGCUAUGGAGUACAGUUUGUUCUGGGGGAGCUUCUUUUACCUUGGAGCUUUUGUUGCCCGUCAUAGGAGAGGUUAUUUUUUUAUUAUUAUGAGAAUGGUUUAUGUUGAUGCAAGAUUUCGCAGCGACUUAGAACGACGUCGUACCUAAAAAACGAAGAGAAAGGUGAUCGGGAGGGCACCGGUGUGGUACCGGCCUAAGAGCCUCUGACGAUCAAGUCAGUGUUCGAUCAGGAUGAUAGAAAGAAGGUGAAGAGACUCUCUUAGGGAUUUGUGUCAUGCCUCAUUAGUUGACCCGAACCCCUCUUUAUAGAGGUACCAAGUUGCAUUCAAGUAGGAAAGCUAUUGCUUUUACUUUUCCAACGCAGAUGGGGAAUGCCAUGGAAGUACAGUUUGUUCUGGGGAGCUUCUUUUCCCUGGUUUAUGCUUUAUACAAAGAACUUUUGUUGCCUGCUAUAGGAGAGGCUGCUUUUAUUAUUGUUGUAUUUAUUUAUUUAUUAUUAUUAUGAGAACGGUUUAUUUGAAUUCUUUUUCUUAUAAUGAGUUGGUAUUGUAUCAAGGUGAUAUUAAAACUAAGAGUUGUACUCGCCAUCAAUUUUCAGGAAGUUGGGGGCGUUAAAGAAUAAAAAAAAACAAGAAUAUAUUCUUCUA